rnacentral:tRNA from 1 species
GGGCGGUUAGCUCAGCUGGUAGAGCACAGCAUUCACAUUGCUGGGGUCACAGGUUCAAAUCCUGUACCGCCCA